rnacentral:sRNA from 1 species
GCCGGGUGUGGUGGUGCAUGCCUGUAAUCACAGUGACUCUUGAGGCUGAGGCAGGAGGAAUCCUGAUUUCAAAGUCAGCCUGAGCAAAAGCGAGGUAAGCAACUCAGUGUGACCCUGUCUCUA